GACGAACGCUGGCGGCGUGCCUAAUACAUGCAAGUAGAACGCUGAAGGAGGAGCUUGCUUCUCUGGAUGAGUUGCGAACGGGUGAGUAACGCGUAGGUAACCUGCCUGGUAGCGGGGGAUAACUAUUGGAAACGAUAGCUAAUACCGCAUAAUAGUAGAUGUUGCAUGACAUUUGCUUAAAAGUUGCAAUUGCAUCACUACCAGAUGGACCUGCGUUGUAUUAGCUAGUUGGUGAGGUAACGGCUCACCAAGGCGACGAUACAUAGCCGACCUGAGAGGGUGAUCGGCCACACUGGGACUGAGACACGGCCCAGACUCCUACGGGAGGCAGCAGUAGGGAAUCUUCGGCAAUGGACGGAAGUCUGACCGAGCAACGCCGCGUGAGUGAAGAAGGUCUUCGGAUCGUAAAACUCUGUUAUUAGGGAAGAACAAAUGUGUAAGUAACUAUGCACGUCUUGACGGUACCUAAUCAGAAAGCCACGGCUAACUACGUG
rnacentral:rRNA from 1 species